ACACCUUGUGACACUGAGGUGAAAAGGCAGGUCGGGUGAAGAAGAGCAGGAUGUUUCAUUUUUAUCAAGCAUCACCUGAUUCAAAAUGUAGCCACUGAAAAGAAGCCAUCGUUUUUGGCCUGCGUCUCUGAGGAUAAGAUAGUGCGUGGGUGAUGGAUGCAGCCCAGCCUCAGGAGGACAACGUCAGAAACCAAAAGCUCCUCUGCCCAGGGAUGGGGACCCGCCGACUUCAAGGGCAGAACAGGAGAUGUGUUUGUUUGAGUAGAUCAGCUAUGAAAAUACCCAGCCGGCCUGCAGCCCUCCCGGCAGAUGCUGAAAAGGAAACCCGACUGGGAGAUGCCGCCCACCCUUAUCCCCAGAGAGCUGCGUUGUUUCCUCUUGCCUUGGCCUUUGGAUCCGGCCAUAGCAAGCAUCCCUGGGCACCUGGCUGAAGCUGGAAACUCGGGAUAAGAAUGGAAGCCCUGGAAGGGAAGAAGAACCGAGGAGAGGACAGCACAUUGCACUCUCACCUCCUUUGCAGUUAAGUGUGAAAUAGUGCCAAUAGAGUGUAAAAGAAAAGAAAGAA
rnacentral:lncRNA from 1 species